GAGAACAAAUGGCCAGCAUGCUUCCUUAAAACAUAAAUUAUACAUUAACAUUCCUUCUGAAUGUUAAAACUCAUGUCAAAUGUCCAUUGUUGAUUAACACUCAAAGACUGCACUUAUAUAAGCCCGCACGUAUGCUAUAUCAAGCUAGAGUCAAUAAUCAGAGUACACAUUCCACUUUAUUAAUAUACGUAUGAAUUACCCUAUAGUUAUUCAUACAUGCACGACUUCAGAAAAGAGAAAGCUGAAUUAUAAUUCGAAACCUAAGUACGACAAAUAGCAAAGAAACAGGGAGAUCAUCUUUAUGUAGCCUUCAUUUAACAAAACUCCAACCACAUUCCAUUUCCAAGAGUCAUUCCUCGAUUAAAAGCAAAUGGAGAUACCUGGAAAUUGGGAAAAAAAGUAGGGGUGAACAGUCAACAAAUUUAGCAGGAAUCAACAGCAGAAAUAUAUCCCAGAAAUAGUUUGGAAACCACAAAAUCAGUUCCCAAUCCAAUGGAACAGUAACUUCCACACUAUUUGAUCCCAAAAACCUUCCAAAUUUAAUGUCAAACCAUUUCAAAUCUCAUUAAUGAAACAAAAUAGUUUUCAGAAAUUGAAAGGAUAAGAAAAUCCUGAAAAUCACCUAAUGAAACAGUAUUUCUGGCCGUCUUGUGAUUUAUUCGAAUUCCCCCCUUUAGCUUAAGUUCUCAAAUGCCUUUUAUAGGCUAACAUUAG
rnacentral:lncRNA from 1 species